AACCUGCCCAAGAGAUCGGGAUAACACCUGGAAACAGAUGCUAAUACCGGAUAACAACAGAUGAUGCCUAUCAACUGUUUAAAAGAUGGUUCUGCUAUCACUCUUGGAUGGACCUGCGGUGCAUUAGCUAGUUGGUAGGGUAACGGCCUACCAAGGCGAUGAUGCAUAGCCGAGUUGAGAGACUGAUCGGCCACAUUGGGACUGAGACACGGCCCAAACUCCUACGGGAGGCAGCAGA
rnacentral:rRNA from 1 species